UGGAUUAGUGGCGAACGGGUGAGUAACACGUGAGUAACCUGCCCCCGACUCUGGGAUAAGCCCGGGAAACUGGGUCUAAUACCGGAUAUUACCUUUGACCGCAUGGUUGUUGGUGGAAAGAUUUAUCGGUGGGGGAUGGACUCGCGGCCUAUCAGCUUGUUGGUGAGGUAAUGGCUCACCAAGGCGACGACGGGUAGCCGGCCUGAGAGGGUGACCGGCCACACUGGGACUGAGACACGGCCCAGACUCCUACGGGAGGCAGCAGUGGGGAAUAUUGCACAAUGGGCGAAAGCCUGAUGCAGCGACGCCGCGUGAGGGAUGACGGCCUUCGGGUUGUAAACCUCUUUCAGUAGGGAAGAAGCGAAAGUGACGGUACCUGCAGAAGAAGCGCCGGCUAACUACGUGCCAGCAGCCGCGGUAAUACGUAGGGCGCAAGCGUUAUCCGGAUUUAUUGGGCGUAAAGAGCUCGUAGGCGGUUUGUCGCGUCUGCCGUGAAAGUCCGAGGCUCAACCUCGGAUCUGCGGUGGGUACGGGCAGACUAGAGUGAUGUAGGGGAGACUGGAAUUCCUGGUGUAGCGGUGAAAUGCGCAGAUAUCAGGAGGAACACCGAUGGCGAAGGCAGGUCUCUGGGCAUUUACUGACGCUGAGGAGCGAAAGCAUGGGGAGCGAACAGGAUUAGAUACCCUGGUAGUCCAUGCCGUAAACGUUGGGCACUAGGUGUGGGGGACAUUCCACGUUUUCCGCGCCGUAGCUAACGCAUUAAGUGCCCCGCCUGGGGAGUACGGCCGCAAGGCUAAAACUCAAAGGAAUUGACGGGGGCCCGCACAAGCGGCGGAGCAUGCGGAUUAAUUCGAUGCAACGCGAAGAACCUUACCAAGGCUUGACAUGUGCCAGACCGCCUCAGAGAUGGGGUUUCCCUUCGGGGCUGGUUCACAGGUGGUGCAUGGUUGUCGUCAGCUCGUGUCGUGAGAUGUUGGGUUAAGUCCCGCAACGAGCGCAACCCUCGUUCCAUGUUGCCAGCACGUAAAGGUGGGGACUCAUGGGAGACUGCCGGGGUCAACUCGGAGGAAGGUGGGGAUGACGUCAAAUCAUCAUGCCCCUUAUGUCUUGGGCUUCACGCAUGCUACAAUGGCCGGUACAAUGGGUUGCGAUACUGUGAGGUGGAGCUAAUCCCUAAAAGCCGGUCUCAGUUCGGAUUGGGGUCUGCAACUCGACCCCAUGAAGUCGGAGUCGCUAGUAAUCGCAGAUCAGCAACGCUGCGGUGAAUACGUUCCCGGGCCUUGUACACACCGCCCGUCAAGUCACGAAAGUUGGUAACACCCGAAGCCGAUGGCCUAA
rnacentral:rRNA from 1 species